rnacentral:rRNA from 1 species
AGAGUUUGAUCAUGGCUCAGGAUGAACGCUGGCGGCGUGCUUAACACAUGCAAGUCGAACGAAGCAGCUUCUGCUGCAAGAGAGUUGACUUAGUGGCGGACGGGUGAGUAACGCGUGGGUAACCUGCCUCAUACAGGGGGAUAACAGUUGGAAACGACUGCUAAGACCGCAUAACCCGCUAGUGUCGCAUGACACGGACGGAAAAUAUUUAUAGGUAUGAGAUGGGCCCGCGUCUGAUUAGCUAGUUGGUAAGGUAACGGCUUACCAAGGCGACGAUCAGUAGCCGACUUGAGAGAGUGAUCGGCCACAUUGGGACUGAGACACGGCCCAAACUCCUACGGGAGGCAGCAGUGGGGAAUAUUGGACAAUGGGGGAAACCCUGAUCCAGCCGACGCCGCGUGAGUGAAGAAGUAUUUCGGUAUGUAAAGCUCUAUCAGCAGGGAAGAUAAUGACAGUACCUGACUAAGAAGCCCCGGCUAACUACGUGCCAGCCGCCGC